rnacentral:rRNA from 1 species
UACGGAGGGUGCAAGCGUUGUUCGGAUUUACUGGGCGUAAAGCGCGCGCAGGUGGGUUUACAAGUCGGGUGUGAAAUCCCCAGGCUUAACCUGGGAACUGCAUUCGAGACUGCAUUGCUAGAGUAUGGGAGAGGGAAGUGGAAUUUCCGGUGUAGCGGUGAAAUGCGUAGAUAUCGGAAGGAACAUCAGUGGCGAAAGCGACUUCCUGGACCAAUACUGACGCUCAUGUGCGAAAGCGUGGGGAGCAAACAGGG